UACGUAGGGGGCAAGCGUUGUCCGGAUUUAUUGGGCGUAAAGCGCGUGUAGGCGGCCAUACAGGUCCGUUGUGAAAACUCGAGGCUUAACCUCGAGACGUCGAUGGAAACCGUAUGGCUAGAGUCCGGAAGAGGAGAGUGGAAUUCCUGGUGUAGCGGUGAAAUGCGCAGAUAUCAGGAGGAAUACCCAUAGCGAAGGCAGCUCGCUGGGACGUUACUGACGCUGAGGCGCGAAAGCGUGGGGAGCGAACAGG
rnacentral:rRNA from 1 species